rnacentral:lncRNA from 1 species
UGGACAUCUUUUGGCCGAGGAAGAGGUCGAGGACUCACACAAAGGGAAGGGAGAGAAGCCACCACCAAAGCACAAGCCACCACAUGGACAUCUUUUGGCCGAGGAAGAAGUUGAGGACUCACACAAGGGAAAGGGAGAGAAGCCACCACCAAAACACAAGCCCCCGCAUGGACAUCUUUUAGCUGAAGAAAAAGUUGAGGACUCACACAAGGGAAAAGGAGAGAAGCCACCACCAAAACACAAGCCCCCGCAUGGACACCUUUUAGCUGAAGAAGAAGUUGAUGAUUCGCACAAGGGAGAGGGAGAAAAGCCACCACCAAAACACAAGCCACCUCACGGGCACUUAUUAGUUGAAGAGGUUGAAGACUCACACAAGGGGAAAGGAGAAAAACCACCGCCCAAGCACAAACCACCUCAUGGACACCUUUUAACUGAAGAGAUCAACGACUCUUACAAAGGAAAGGGAGAGAAGCCACCUCACAAGCCUCCCCACAAACCCCCAUCAGCCGACUAAGUACCUUAGGCUAAUUUCGCUAAAUGCUUAGAAAUAAGAAACAGAAGUCUACUCUUCUGUUGGUUUCUGUAUCUGCAUUUUCACUGAAUUAGUAUUUGUACUUUGGCUUGUAUUAUAUGAAUACUACCCUCUAGUUGGCUGUUUUAUGUAGAUUAUGGUUUUAUGUUCUAGUGCUGUGUGUAUUAUUUCAGUUGAUUUAACUUUUAUUUGCAAACUAUACAGCAAUACAUGCACUUACUCCUAGUACGUAGUUCUGCCACAUGCAUAUAUUUGGUGGUAGGAUAUUGCCAACGACAACAACGUUUAAUUACUUUAACUUAAAUCAAAUAUGAAAUGAUUCUCUUAAUUAAAACUAAAUUUUUUUUAUACCCUAAUUUAACCCUUAUUUAUUAAUUAUAUUUAUUAAAUCUCUUAUUAGUUAAAGUAUAUAUAAUAAAACUAGGUAAGAAUGUGUGAGAUUUCAAAUUUCUUCAUAUCUGUCACUGGUUAUUUCAUGUCUCUGUUUCUGCUUGCUGCCUAUGUUGCAACAUUCAUUUGGCUUCUUAUUCCUAGUCAAUUACUUAUUUGCCUCUCGAUUUUGACUAGGUCGAUAGUAAGCUUAAAGUUUAAUUUCAAACAGUUUCAUAUUUAAAGAAAAGUAGUAUUUUGAAGAAGCGGAAAUAAACACAAAAAAAAGAUAGUUGGUGCAAUGAGUAAAUCAUUUUCAAAUAUAAAAUUAUUAUUACAAGCAAAAUUGGAAUUAUUAGAAUGACAGUAUGCUCCAAAGAUAAGAGUAUAAUAUGAAUAGUACAAAAUUAGCCUUUUUCUUUAAACAAAAUAAUUCAGUAAACUGAUCAUAAGAACGUAAUAAAGAGUAAAAUUCUAUCCUACAUUUGUAUUUCAAAAGUAAAAAAUAUUAAUUUUUAAAUACAUUUGGUUCUCAGUGAUUGACAAGAUAAAAUCUUAUUUAACUUUCUCCUUAUAGAGUAGGAAUUCCAGAUACAUAUUAUCUUACCAAGGGUUUGAUAAUGACAUUUUAAUUACAGCACCACUAUAGACAAGUAGCCAUUGUUAAUGGAGGUUAUCAUUCCAAUUUCCCUCUUGUGAAGUUAUUAAUUUGUGGAGAUUAUAAAGGACUCCAAUCUUUAACCCUUCCAAUGAGUUAAAAAAAUAUAAAAUAUUUCUUAUCAAAUUGCACCAUCAACAACUCAUACGAAUGCCACCUUUAUGGCCGCAAAACAGAGUGCUUGAUAACCAAAUUUAAGAUAAAUCUCAAUUCGACGGUAAGUGCAUCACUUAGAUUUGUUACAUCCUAAUAAUAUAUACUAAAUUUAUAAAUAAUUAAUAUAUAUUUUAUUAAUUUAAAUAAUAAAAUAUAUAAAUUAUAUAUAUAUCAACUGCCAGUGGUACCUUUUUUAAACUAAAGGAAGCUAUUAGUGGAGACAAGCUUUAGAAGUGAACGCCACUCAUCUGCUAAACUACAAAAGAUGCCACCACACCUCUGACGUCAAAUGAUAUGCAUGUGCUCUAGUCACUGUUGAAACUAAGAAAUUAUUAACCGUGAGCCUAAUAUCCAAAGAACCUUUGGAUCCAAUCAAUUGAUUUUAGAUAAACUAUGGUGAAAAUAUAUCAUUUUUCGUUACUCUUCAGCUUUCCACCAAAUUCAGCCCCCCAAAAGUUCAAGAAAAAAAAUUAAUACCAAGGAUAAUAUAAAUUCCAAGAGUUUAGGCGAAUAAUUUUUUUUCUGAUCAGCAUUUUGCAAUUAGUUGAAAAUUGGAACUUGCCAGAAGCUGUGCAGCUCAAUUUUAUCAGGCACAUACGAAAACACACUUCCUAUUUCUCUGAAAGUUUGUCUUGCAGCAGUUUAAGAUGAACAAAAGCAAGUUGGUUUUCUGCUUGUAAUUUACAACUCAAUUAGAUUAUAGAAGAAAUUAAAACAGUAAUAUGUAAUUCUUUGGGGCAUAACCUUUAAUACUACUGAUAAGUAUAACGGAUACGUUCCUAAAUUAUAUUGUACUAAAUUUACAACCGCAAGGAGAUCCAAGUUGGAGAGUUAAUAAUCACACUAGGUUAGGAGAAAGAGCAAUAACUUGGCCAUAUUGUCAAAGUUUUCAACUAGUUGGAACCCGGUGGAUCUUCUUCUCUAAACCGGUGGAUCUUCUUCUCUAACAUGAAAUUUUAAACAGCCAACUUGACUGCAUAGGGUACUAGGUUAGUAAAGACAAGAAAGUAUGACAUGAACAAAAACCACUUAAUAGACGUCUUUUACAAGUAGAUAUUGAGGAUGCACAUAAAGGAAAGGGAGAGAAGCCACCGCAUGGACAUCUUUUGGCCGAGGAAGUUAUGGAGGACUCGUAUAAGAACAAGAGAGAGAAGCCACCACAUGGACAUCUUUUGGCCGAGGAAUAAGUGGAGGAUUCACGCAAAGGAAACGGAGAGAAACCACCACCAAAACACAAACCUCCACAUGGACAUCUUUUAGCUGAAGAAGAAGUUGAUAACACACACAAAGGAAAAGGAGAGAAGCCACCACCUUAUGCGCACUUUUUAGUUGAAGAGGUUGAAGACUCGCACAAGAGAAAGGGAGAAAAACCACCGCCAAAGCAUAAACCGCCUGUCACGACUCAAUCUGUAGGUCCGUAAUCGGCGCUAGUGAAUGGGUAGGCUUAAGGCCAUCAAAAUUCAUAGCAAGCCUAAUUAGCCAAAGAUCUAAAUAAACAUAUAUAUAAUUAUAUACUACUAAAACAAUCCAACAUUUCACUCACAAAUCUACAUAUAAUUAAUUUAAUCCUCCAGCUGGAUUACUAGCAAACAUCCCAUAAUUUUUUUUUACCGACAUAAUUUAAAUACAAGAUACCGGGUACAUUACUGCGGAGAGUCUAGAAUUUUAAAUAAUUUAAAAUAUAAAAAUAAGAUUUAAUUACAAUAAGUCCGAAAGAGAAGGAAAGUCGGGUUGUAAAAAAUGUCGGCGAAAAACCUAGCUGUCACCUGAAAAAUUUAGAAUUUAGACUGUCAGUCUCAGGAGUGAGUUAAAAUUAAAUAUCAUAAGUAAAACAAAAUGGUUGAUAAAAUAAUGUAGUGCAUCAUAAACUAAUAAAUAAGUGUCACAAUAUAAUUUAAAAUAAUUAAUUUUUAGCUCUUAAGGGAUGAGCACUUCAGUAGAGCCCUAACCUCAAUAUUAGCAGCCUUCGGCUCUCUUAUUACAGUAAGACUGGUGCCUAAAGAGCGAAGCUCAACCAUGGUCCUUAAAUCUAGUUUGAUCACUUGAUUUCUAAUAAAGUCAGCACCCAUAUAGGAAGGCUAGAUAAGGGACCUUUCCUUCGGCAAUCAAAUUCUCACAGCUCAGAGAGUUGUACUCGACCAGAGCAAAUCCCAAAAUAUUCUUUUAUUACCUGUCUUUGAUUAAUAUCGGUGCAUGAGCAUUCUUGAUGCAACCCAUCAGGUGACAUGUUAUACUGCUGCCUCAUCCCGAAGUUACGAUCAUAGCAUCAAUAAUAAUUAUAAAUAAUAUAAAUCAUAAGCAAACAUAAUUAUUCAAUAACAUAAUAAGAAUUAAAGUUGAGUAGUCUCGAAUAUAGCAAACAUGAAAAUUAUGUAUGAUAAUAGUAAUAAUGAUAAAAUAACAAUAAAUAUGAUAACAAUAAUAAUAAUAAUAAUAAUAAUAAUAAGAAUAAUAUCAAUAAUAACGAAAAUGAAAUUAAUAAUAAUGAUGCUAAUAAUAUUCGUAAUAAUUAUUAAUCAACUAAAAUUACUAAUAAAAAUACUAAUAAUAAUCAUAAUAAUUAUUAAUCAAUUAACAUUACAUUUAAUUUAGACAUGACAUAAAAGCAGUUGAUUAUAUACUUUAAUUCACAGUACUGCAGUGCUACGCAGUCUGCUUCUAUGCUUUGGGUGGAGCUGGUUGGACGAACGGAUUAUCUAUUUACGAGAAACAACUCAAUUAAUGAGAUAUUAUUAAUUUUUCUAGGCCUAAACUUCUAAAUUAGACUGCCUAAAAAAUUUUGACUCGGAAAUUCUACCGAAAAUUUGAUAGAACCUCCCUUAAAAUAUGAACGUUAACCCACCCCCCCCCCCCCCCCCCCAUAUAACAGGUCCAGAACCUACUAGAAAACACUUCAAAUAUUUCACAUUUAUUUAACGGGGUAGAGGCAUUAUCUUUCCGACUCCGAAAUAUAACCUAAAUCACAAUAUAAAAAUUAACAGUCCGGCAAAAUAAUAUUAUUCACGAUACAUUAUACAAAUAUUUUUUCUCGCAUUUAAUUCAAUUACUCACAGCCUCAAAUUUACAUAGCAGAAUAUUAAAUCUUUCUGUAAUUAAUCUGCAGUAAUUCUAAAAUCAAGCUACCAAUUAAUUAAAUAAUUUAAUUAAUUAAUUAUAACUAACAAUUUAUACUCCAAUUAUUUUCUAAUAAUUUCAAAAUAAAUUUUCAAGUCUAGAUAAAAUUAUACUGAGCCGAAACUCGAACUUUUGUGCGUCCGAGAAACACCAGAGUUUGAAAGCCGGUACCACCAACGAUAUCGGAUUUCGAAUCCGGAAGCACCUACGAAGCUUGAGUUGUGGGGAGUCUGAGUAUGCAAAUGUCUUCGCUUGAAACUAGUCGGAAGUCACCAGAUCGAGGCUGAAAAGUUUCGGCUCCAGCGAGACUCAUCCAUUGCAGCUGGCGGAGGAAAAACAUCAGGGAGGAGCUGGCUUUGGGUUAUCAAUGGUGGCGAGCACGAUUCCGACAUUGGACUGAUGAAAGGGCGACGGCAGGCGGCUAUUCUUACAGUGGCAGCAAGGGAGGAGCUUUCCUUCCUGCAACUUGUCAUCGGCAAUAAGAAAGAAGAAAAAGGAGGCGAUGCUGGCAAGGGAGGGGGAAGAAGAAGGAGUUUACGUUAGCUAGAAAAAGAGGACAGGCGACAGAAAGAAAGGGAGUGGAGGAGGAGGAAGAGAGGUGGCAUCACGAAAAGAGAAGAAAGAAGAGAGGGAAUUUUUUUUUUGUAUAAAAGAUGAAAAAUUACAAAUGAGUCCCCUUUCAAAAAGUUGCUACGAUGACCCCCUUGGCCCAAUUUCUUUUUGUUUAUUUAUUUAUAAAUGUUAAAUAUUGACUUAUCAAUAAUUAAUUUAAUAUAAAUUAAAAAAUUUAUCAAAUUACCCGAAUAUAAAUUAAAACAAUUAAAAUUUAAAUUUAUAGGUAUUACACCACCUCAUCGAUACCUUUUAGCUGAAGAGG